UUUUUUAUUGAGAGAAUACUUUAUUAGUUUUUGUAAUCAAACCCACGUAGAUAAGACCUUACAUAUUUAAUACAGUGCGUUACCCCUGUACGAAUGGAAAAAACUUAAGUUCAACAUUUCUAGACCAAUAUGGCUGUUAAUUUCUGUACAGUGCCAACUCAACACAUAAACGGGGAUACUUUUUUCCAAAGUUGACAGCACAGCUAAAGUUUCAAAAAAUUCAAAUCAUAUAUCUGUAUAUAUAUAUUUAUAUUUAUAUAAAAAGACCAAUAAUAGCAGUGUGUUAUGCAUCAACAGCAGCAACAGCUUUUCCAGGUUCUGCAGUCAUCUGAACAAAACUGUAGAGACAUCCAGCACACUCCAUUAAAAAAAAAAAAAGUAAAAAAACAAAACCCCAGAAAACAGCACAGUUCUGUUACUCUUGUGGUACCUGGCACCAUUUUUUUUUAAAUUAGCUUCUCAAUCAUCAUCUGGAAAGAAAACAUUCUGAGCAACAUCAUUAAAAACAGCUCUGAUAAAGCACGGUCACUACUACGUAUCAUAAAGCAGGUACAAGCUAUUUUACAUCCACAGAGGUAUGAUACAGUACUGUCCUACAUCUAUAAUACUAGAGGAUACAAUUUAAAAGGCAUUAUUUGAGACUUGAUUCUACUUUUCCAGCAGAGGGCCCAAAGGAUGGUGUGUGACACAGCUUUGUAAAGAAACAUACUCUAGACAGGAUUUCCUUUCACUAGUGGCACAGUUCUAAGGAUUCAUUCUCUCCAUGAAUGUCAGCUAAAACCGUUAUUAAAAAAAUGAAAUAUCCCUAAAACAAAACCGUAUAACCACCGGAUUCACAUGAAGAUGACCUAGUGGAGACAAGCUGGACCUCACCUUACCAACAAGCUAUCAAAUCUGUUACGUUUAAACAGUGAGACCUCCAAGGAAGGAGAUGCCAAGUAGUGCUUCAAAGCUUCGGACCACAAUCAAACACAGCAUCCUUUUCAACAGAAGCAGAAGCUCAUCUGAAUAUGCUCAUAGAUGCUGACACCAACAUUUAAUCAUCUGCUCACUCAUCCAGGAAGAAGGGGAGAUCAGUUACUACUGUACUUUAUUGUGUUCAACCAAAUCACCAUGUUACAAAAAUAGCAAGCUGCCAUAAUAAAAAAUAAGGCUCCUCUAUCCAGCACCAGAUAGCAUCAUUUUACUUUCAAGCCUAGAAAUGCCAUAGACAUAUCCAAAGAACACAAGGGAGCAAAAGAACCACAGCUGAUGGGGCAAUGGGACUGCCCAGUGUCCAGCUGAGCUACUCUGUGGUUAUCACUCUUCUCCUACUUCUGGUGUUUCAUGCUCCUUAAGAUUAAACUGUGCGCACUUACAGACUGUUUGCACACUUGUAUAUAAACCAACCGAAGAUGCAAAUGUUACACGGGAGGUGCGAGCCUGUGGAGCCUUGUUGUAAUCGGUGUAGCAGCUGUCAGUGUAAAAUGCUCUAUGCCCCUUGUGUAUCUCACAGGACAGUGCCACAGAUCACUUCACCCCGUGGCUGCUGGCAUUAUUUGACUUCACUUUCCCUGCCCACCCACCCUCAAUAAACCACAGCCUUUAUGAUUUUGUUUCUUCGGUUUUGAUCACCUGAGGUUUGAUUGGUCCAGUUCUAACAGGUUUGGUGGUUAUGGUGGGUGCAGGGGGUGGCUUUUCUUCUACUUUUUCCUGACAGGUACAAGGAGGGUCACUCAGUGUCUCAGGUUUACUUGUAUCACUGUCCACUUUCUGGGCUUUGCCUCCUAUCUGUUUGCUCUGUUGCUGCUCAGAGAAGAACCGCUGCGUGGACUGAAGAACCUCUGCUCUCUGCUUUGCCUGGGGUGCAAACUGUGCAGGAAACGGCUGUGCCAUUCUCACUGUGGCAGGGGCUGACUGGAACUGUUUCUGAUAAACAAUGCUGUUCAUUUUGCUAGACUGGCUGUUUGGACUUGUUGAUGUAGCCCUGAAUGGACUAGAUGUUGGCGUGGUGCUUCGACCACCAAUUGGUGGUGUUCCUGGUUUGAUAUCAAUGCCACUCCCAAAGGCUUUUAGUUCCAUUUCAGACAUUUUUCCUGUGGUUGCCAUCAUGCCAUGCUGCGUUCCAGCAGGGAUUAACCCUCUGAAAGGCUGGCUUACUUGGGCAGGACGGCUCAAGCUCUGAGCCUGUGCUUGUGGGGUUGUGUGCUGUAACUGGGGCUGAAGUGUCUGAGGCAAAGCAAUCAGAGGCUGUCCUGUAGAUCCAAAAUUAGUCAAGGAAAGCUGGGAUGCUGGUAAUGGUACUGUAACCUGCUGGAGAGCACUUGGUGAUUGGGCAGUGUUAUAAAAAUUUGUCUGACCAGGCUGCUGUACUUGUCCAGAGUAAAGAUUUGACGCUUGAGUAAGAUUUGCUCUUGCCUGAAGAAGAUGUGUAUCAAUCAGCUGAGAACUUCCUAGUCCUGAUGCCUGACCCAGCUGAUGUUCAUACAGUAUAGGGAUGGGCUGAGUAUUUGAAGUCUGCUGAAAGGCAAGACCUGACUGUGCCUUGGCAAGCUCCUGGUGCUGGACUGCUGGGAAGUUGUGGAGAGCUGUACCAGAGAGGACCACAGAAGGCUGGGAAAGGCUGCUUUGCAUAAAGGCUGGCUGCGACCUAUAUGGUUGAAUUGAAGAACUGAAUAAUUCCUGAGCCUGGGAAACAGCAGGCCCAGC
rnacentral:lncRNA from 1 species